AUUGAACGCUGGCGGCAGGCCUAACACAUGCAAGUCGAGCGGAUGAGAGGAGCUUGCUCUUUGAUUUAGCGGCGGACGGGUGAGUAAUGCCUAGGAAUCUGCCUGGUAGUGGGGGACAACGUUUCGAAAGGAACGCUAAUACCGCAUACGUCCUACGGGAGAAGGUGGGGGAUCUUCGGACCUCACGCUAUCAGAUGAGCCUAGGUCGGAUUAGCUAGUUGGUGAGGUAAUGGCUCACCAAGGCGACGAUCCGUAACUGGUCUGAGAGGAUGAUCAGUCACACUGGAACUGAGACACGGUCCAGACUCCUACGGGAGGCAGCAGUGGGGAAUAUUGGAUAAUGGGCGCAAGCCUGAUCCAGCCAUGCCGCGUGUGUGAAGAAGGUCUUCGGAUUGUAAAGCACUUUAAGUUGGGAGGAAGGUCAGUAGCUUAAUACGUUGCUGAUUUGACGUUACCGACAGAAUAAGCACCGGCUAACUCUGUGCCAGCCGCCGCAGUAAGAC
rnacentral:rRNA from 1 species